GUUCCUCAGCAUCUUGCAGGCGCUGGGCCAGUUUCUUUCUGAAAAGAGCCACAUUUAAUAAAGUGAAUGACCAGGAAAAGAAUCCAGCACAAGGGAAUCUAAUAUUUUGAGGACAAAGCUUUUAUUUCUUCAAAGCCCUGAAAUCUUUGUAUUUGUGAAAAAAUAGUGAUGAAUGUUGGAGGGAAUGCGGGGAAAACUGGGACACUGAAGCAUUGUUGGUGAAGUUGUGAAUGAAUCCAACCAUUCUGGAGAGCAAUCUGGAAUUAUGCCCAAAAAGUUAUCAAACUGUGCAUACCCUUUGAUCUAGCAGUGCUAUUACUGGGCUUAUAUCCCAAAGAGAUAUUAAAGAAGGAAAAAGGACCUACCUGUAUGUGCCAAAAUGUUUGUGACAGCCCUGUUUGUAGUGGCUAGAAACUGGAAAAUGAAUGGAUGCCCAUCAAUUGGAGAAUGGUUGGGUAAAUUGUGGUAUAUGAAUGUUAUGGAAUAUUAUUGUUCUAUAAGAAAUGAGCAGCAGGAUGAAUACAGAGAAGCUUGGAGAGACAUACAUGAACUGAUGCUAAGUGAAAUGAGCAGAACCAAGAGAUCAUUAUAUACUUCAACAACGAUACUGUAUGAGGAUGUAUUCUGAUGGAAGUGGAUUUCUUUGACAAAGAGAUCUACCUCAGUUCCAACUGAUCAAUGAUGGACAGAAGCAGCUAUAUGCAAAGAAAAAACACUGGGAAAGGAAUGUAAACUGUGUGCAUUUUUGUUUUUCUUCCCGGGUUAUUUCUACCUUCUGAAUCCAAUUCUCCCUGUGCAACAAGAGAACUGUUUGGUUCUGCAUACAUAUAUUAUAUCUAGGAUAUACUGCAACAUAUUUAACAUAUUUGGAUUGCUUGCCAUCUGGGAGAGGGGGUGGAAGGAGGGAGGGGAAAAAUUGGAACAGAAGUGAGUGCAAGGGAUAAUGUUGUAAAAAAUUAUCCUGGCAUGGGUUCUGUCAAUAAAAAGUUAUUAUAAAAAAUUAAAUUAAAUUAAAGUUAUAAAUUUAAAAAAUAUAUCAUAUCUUAUAUGGUAGUGAUAGAAUAAUAAAUGAGAGUAGACACUUAAUAAAAACUAAAUGAUUGUUAUUAUUAAAUAAACCUGAUUGCUGCAGAAU